rnacentral:rRNA from 1 species
UGUGCAAAGGUAGCAUAAUCAUUUGUUUUUUAAUUGGAAACUGGAAUGAAAGAGGCGACGAGAGGUAGGCUUUUUAUUACACAAGUUAACUUGACAUAAAAGUUAAAAGGCUUUUAUAUUUCGGCGGGACGAUAAGACCCUAUAAAACUUUACUAACAACUUAUAUUAUUAUUGAACUAGUAGCAGGUUGUUGGUUAAGCUGGGGCGGCAAAUAUAUAAACAAUAUUAAUAUUAAAUAUUUAAAAUAGAAAAUUAGAACUUAAGUUAAAAAUUUAAACAAGUUACUUUAGGGAUAACAGCAUAAUUUUUCUUGAUAGUUCUUAUUGGCAGAAAAGUUUAUGACCUCGAUGUUGAAUUGAGAUGUCCUUUAUGGUGCAG